AGCGGAAAAAGGGACUUGAACCCUCAACC
rnacentral:tRNA from 1 species